rnacentral:rRNA from 1 species
CCUACGGGGGGCAGCAGUGGGGAAUUUUGGACAAUGGGGGCAACCCUGAUCCAGCCAUUCCGCGUGAGUGAAGAAGGCCUUCGGGUUGUAAAGCUCUUUCGCAAGGGAAGAAAACUUACUCAAUAACACUGGGUGAGGCUGACGGUACCUUGAUAAGAAGCACCGGCUAACUACGUGCCAGCAGCCGCGGUAAUACGUAGGGUGCGAGCGUUAAUUGGAAUUACUGGAGGUGGUUCGUGCACAGGGGUGUGAAAUCCCCGGGCUCAACCUGGGAACUGCGUUUGAAACUACAAGGCUAGAGUAUGGCAGAGGGGGGUAGAAUUCCACGUGUAGCAGUGAAAUGCGUAGAGAUGUGGAGGAAUACCAAUGGCGAAGGCAGCCCCCUGGGUCAAUACUGACGCUCAUGCACGAAAGCGUGGGGAGCAAACAGGAUUAGAUACCCUAGUAGUC